ACGAUGCUUUGAGGCCAUAGAGAUCUUGGAAGGAGUUACGAGCCACACAUUCAACCACCAACGCCUGAAUUUCUUCAGGCAAUUCAAGAAAAGGGAAAUAUUUGAUUUACUGUGAAAUUGAUUUAGAGAGAGAGAGCAAUUGUGUAAAAAUAGAGAGUUAACAUAUAAUUGUUCGAGAAGUGCGUUAUUUAUUGACAGUAAAACGAUUUUCAUAUCGCGAAGUUUCCUAUUUUGGGCGGAAAGUUAUUCCAUAACCCAGCUGUAAUACAAAUUCAUUCAAUAAAUCAGCCGUUUGAAAACAAAAACCCAGCCGUAAUACAAAAACAUGAAAAUCCAUAAUCUUGCCGUAACACAUUUACAUGAAAACAAAAAGACAGCCGUAAUACAAAAACAUGAAAAUCGCUAAUCCAGCCGUAAUACAUUUACAUGAAAACAAAAACACGGCCGUAAUACAAAACAUGAAAAU
rnacentral:lncRNA from 1 species